AGCGCAGGCCGUGGGCUAAGCGUGUCGUGAAAUUCCGUCGCUCAACGGCGGACGUGCGGCGCGAACUGGUCCACUUGAGUACGCGGGACGUUGGCGGAAUUCGUGGUGUAGCGGUGAAAUGCUUAGAUAUCACGAAGAACUCCGAUUGCGAAGGCAGCUGACGGUAGCGCAACUGACGCUGAGGCUCGAAAGUGCGGGUAUCGAACAGGAUUAGAUACCCUGGUAGUCCGCACGGUAAACGAUGGAUGCCCGCUAUUCGCCCACCUGGGCGAGUGGCCAAGCGAAAGCGUUAAGCAUCCCACCUGGGGAGUACGCCGGCAACGGUGAAACUCAAAGGAAUUGACGGGGGCCCGCACAAGCGGAGGAACAUGUGGUUUAAUUCGAUGAUACGCGAGGAACCUUACCCGGGCUUGAAUUGCAGAGGAAGGAUUUGGAGACAAUGACGCCCUUCGGGGCCUCUGUGAAGGUGCUGCAUGGUUGUCGUCAGCUCGUGCCGUGAGGUGUCGGCUUAAGUGCCAUAACGAGCGCAACCCCCAUCUCCAGUUGCCACCGGGUCGUGCCGGGCACUCUGGAGGGACUGCCAGCGCAAGCUGCGAGGAAGGCGGGGAUGACGUCAAAUCAGCACGGCCCUUACGUCCGGGGCGACACACGUGUUACAAUGGCGGAGAACAGAGGGGAGCCACGUGGCGACACGGAGCCGAUCCCUAAAAUCCGUCUCAGUUCGGAUUGGAGCCUGCAACCCGACUCCAUGAAGCUGGAUUCGCUA
rnacentral:rRNA from 1 species